CCAGCACGCCCUUUGAGCUCAUCGCCGCCGAGGAGACGGAGCGCAGGAUGGACUUCUACGCCGACCCGGGCGUCUCCUUCUACGUGCUGUGUCCGGACAACGGCUGCGGCGACAGCUUUCACGUGUGGAGCGAGAGCGAGGACUGCCUGCCCUUCUUGCAGCUGGCGCAGGACUACAUCUCUUCCUGCGGCAAGAAAACGCUCCAGGAAGUCUUGGAAAAAGUCUUCAAGUCCUUCAGACCUGUAGGUGCUGCCCGGCUUCAGAAGCCACCCUGUACCCCUCUGCAACUGCACCUUGAUAGCAGGGAUGGGUGGGAAAGUGGGCAGACCCAGGAUUGUUCUCCUGUCUGCUUGUCUGCCCUGUAGUAUAGAGAUAGCAGCCACCGUGGGGAGGCUGAAAGCCAAUGCACCGUUGCAGAUGCACUAUGGCUGUUUGGUGCAGGGCCAAAGGCUGUUAAUAGCCCUGGUUUAGAAGUUCUGACGGUGGAGGCACAGAGCCUUUACGGGACAGUGGGGUAAUCCAGUUCCCACCCAGUAAAUGGGGUACUCCAGUUCCCACCCAGUAAAUGGGGUACUCCAGUUCCCACCCAGUAAAUGGGGUACGCCUGUUCUCACCCAGUAAACCCCAAAUCCACCCGG
rnacentral:lncRNA from 1 species